rnacentral:rRNA from 1 species
AACGAUGAAGCCCAGCUUGCUGGGUGGAUUAGUGGCGAACGGGUGAGUAACACGUGAGUAACCUGCCCUUAACUCUGGGAUAAGCCUGGGAANCUGGGUCUAAUACCGGAUAGGAGCGUCCACCGCAUGGUGGGUGUUGGAAAGAUUUAUCGGUUUUGGAUGGACUCGCGGCCUAUCAGCUUGUUGGUGAGGUAAUGGCUCACCAAGGCGACGACGGGUAGCCGGCCUGAGAGGGUGACCGGCCACACUGGGACUGAGACACGGCCCAGACUCCUACGGGAGGCAGCAGUGGGGAAUAUUGCACAAUGGGCGCAAGCCUGAUGCAGCGACGCCGCGUGAGGGAUGACGGCCUUCGGGUUGUAAACCUCUUUCAGUAGGGAAGAAGCGAAAGUGACGGUACCUGCAGAAGAAGCACCGGCUAACUACGUGCCAGCAGCCGCGGUAAUACGUAGGGUGCGAGCGUUAUCCGGAAUUAUUGGGCGUAAAGAGCUCGUAGGCGGUUUGUCGCGUCUGUCGUGAAAGUCCGGGGCUUAACCCCGGAUCUGCGGUGGGUACGGGCAGACUAGAGUGCAGUAGGGGAGACUGGAAUUCCUGGUGUAGCGGUGGAAUGCGCANAUAUCAGGAGGAACACCGAUGGCGAAGGCAGGUCU